UACUAACAUAAGCUCUGCUACCUCAGGUCAUCUGAAAGAGGAGAAGAUGGAGGGAGCAUGUGUAGGUCUUCCAGGAAGAGAUGAGAGUCUUGAACACCAAGUGAAAAGAUCAAGAAAUUUCUUCAUAUAAAAAGAGUAUUCAGACCAGGCAUGGUGGCUCACGGCUGUAAUCCUGGCACUUUGGGAGGCUGAAGGCAGUGGGCAUCACUGAACCGUGUGAGGAAUGAGAGAGGGUGGAACAAACUCCCUGUUACCAAGAACAGCAUCUGGUGAAGAUGUCAAGGCCUACUGGGCAAGGUGUCAACUCAUUUUGACACAGUCUGCAGCAGCAUUGUUCAUUUUACUUUUCCAGG
rnacentral:lncRNA from 1 species